rnacentral:rRNA from 1 species
CAGCAGCCACGGUAAUACGGAGGGAGCUAGCGUUGUUCGGAAUUACUGGGCGUAAAGCGCGCGUAGGCGGUUACUCAAGUCAGAGGUGAAAGCCCGGGGCUCAACCCCGGAACUGCCUUUGAAACUAGGUGACUAGAAUCUUAGAGAGGUCAGUGGAAUUCCGAGUGUAGAGGUGAAAUUCGUAGAUAUUCGGAAGAACGCCAGUGGCGAAGGCGACUGACUGGACAAGUAUUGACGCUGAGGUGCGAAAGCGUGGGGAGCAAACAGGAUUAGAUACCCCGGUAGUCCCUGUCUCUUAUAC